GAACAUGGCUUAUCAGCUUGGUCACCACAUUGAGCUGCAGUGUCUUUUGAUAGCUCAAGCUUAUUAGCAUCACGGAUUUUCAAUUUCAGGACUAAUCUCCUUUUGUUCUCGCCGUUUGUUGGAGGUUCAGUGGAUUUAGCAGGCACAUCGAUAGCUCCACCCGUUGGAUAGCUCCGCGGUGUGCUUGUCAGUUUGUCAUCAGAUGCAAUACUCUGAUCGCUUGACCAACAUUCUAAUGAUUCAGUUUCCAAUGAAUCAUCCUCAGAGCUAGCUUCGUCUUCAUCAUCUGAAGAAAUGUCAUAUUGCUGAUACACAAUUUCAGGAUGUGCAGCUCCACGGUGAGAUCUGAAUGACUUUGGUUUAGUUGACUU
rnacentral:misc_RNA from 1 species